UUGCUUCAGCAGUAUGUAUACUAAAAUUAGAAUGAUACAGUGAAGAUUAGCAUGGCCCCUGCGCAAGGAUAACACCCAAAUUUGUGAAGUGUUCUAUAUUUUU